AAAAAAGCAACAAAAGAAUUCCAAUUGGUCCACAAGUAAGACAAUAUAUAUCAUGUUUUUUAACACCAUUGAGGAAUUCUCAAAUGUGAAGGAGCUAUAUUGAUAUGAUAACACAUCUCCAUCUAUUGAUUUUAAAGAAAUAUGCUAUUGCUCUAUCUCAAAGAUGAAAUCCUCUCUCUCAAGUCUCAACAUGCUUCACAAGGUUUACCCAAAAUUGUUAGGUGGUUGAAGAAAAUCGGUGAGUUAAAAAACAUGCUAUCUUUUAAUUGUGCUUUUUAAUCUCAGCCGUUAAUUUGAUCUAUAUUGGAUGUGUAAUAUAUAUAUAUAUAUAUAAUUUCACAUGAAAAAUCAUGAAGUCCAUGUACUAGUUCAUAUGUGUAAAUAUAGUACUAUAUAAAAUAUUUCAUUCAAUUCACAUAUAUCAUAUCAAAGUUCAUACAAAAUAUAAUAUGUUACUAAUUGAAGUGUUAUUUUUAAUGUGUUAUUUAUAAUAUUUUUAAUGUGUUAUUUUGUAAUAUUUUUAAUGUGUUAUUUAUGAUGAUUCUAAGUUACUAAUUGAAGUACUAAAUAUUAACUGAAAUAAAACCAAAACUGAUAAGAAAACACUUCAAAUAUAUUAUAGAUUGAGUAAAAUUUAUUUAGUGCGAAUUAGAUUCGUAGCGAAUUUGAAAUCAAACGGACCGCGUUCUUAGACUGAAAAUUUUGUUUAGAGAAUUUGACAUACUUUUUAAAUUAUUGUCUGUUUUUUUAAAAAUUGUUAUUUUUAAUCAUGAUAAGAACUUUGACAUGUUGAAUGUUGAUUAAGAGGAUAAAAUACACUACACCAAUAUUAAGAAUAUAUAAUGCAUUUUUAACGGCGCUUAUUUUCCAAAAGUGUUAUUAGUUCAAAAAUAUAAAAAAUACAAAGCCUUUAAAUAAUGCUUUUUUAAUAGGGUUUUUUUAAUAACUCAAUUUAAAAAAAAAAAUUAUUAAUAUACUCCUUUUUGAAAAGUUUAUAUCAAACACCAUUGUUUUUACUUAGUUAGAAGUUGCCAUUUGCAAUGACGAUUUUCUUAAAGAAUUUCGAAUUUACAAUAACAACUGUUUAAAGAUUUUUUAAUUUUUUGUUUAAUCGCACAUCAAAGUCACCUUUGCUCUAGUUGAGCACACUUAUUAAUUUUAUUUUUUAUUUGUUAACGUUUUUUGUAUUGACGGUCAAUUAAAGUGUUGUUUUCUUGACAUUGUUAUUUUGUUUAUUUAUCUACUUAGGUUAGGUUAUCAAUUAUUAAGCACACUAAUUAUGGCUUAAAUUUUGGGAUACAUGAAACAAUAUGAAGAACACAAAAGUGGAAAUACCGUGGAAAAGACUGAGGUGUGUUGCGG
rnacentral:lncRNA from 1 species